ACGCACAGUUUAUACCGUAGCUUGCUACACCAUAGACUGUGAGUUGCGAACGGGUGAGUAACGCGUAGGUAACCUGCCUAUUAGAGGGGGAUAACUAUUGGAAACGAUAGCUAAUACCGCAUAACAGUAUGUAACACAUGUUAGAUGCUUGAAAGAUGCAAUUGCAUCGCUAGUAGAUGGACCUGCGUUGUAUUAGCUAGUAGGUAGGGUAAAGGCCUACCUAGGCAACGAUACAUAGCCGACCUGAGAGGGUGAUCGGCCACACUGGGACUGAGACACGGCCCAGACUCCUACGGGAGGCAGCAGUAGGGAAUCUUCGGCAAUGGGGGGAACCCUGACCGAGCAACGCCGCGUGAGUGAAGAAGGUUUUCGGAUCGUAAAGCUCUGUUGUUAAGGAAGAACGAGUGUGAGAAUGGAAAGUUCAUGCUGUGACGGUACUUAACCAGAAAGGGACGGCUAACUACGUGCCAGCAGCCGCGGUAAUACGUAGGUCCCGAGCGUUGUCCGGAUUUAUUGGGCGUAAAGCGAGCGCAGGCGGUUAGAAAAGUCUGAAGUGAAAGGCAGUGGCU
rnacentral:rRNA from 1 species